rnacentral:tmRNA from 1 species
GGGGGCGAAAUGGACUCGACGGAGGUAGUGAAGCAGAAGCUGCAGGCCGAGGUCCCAUCAACCUCGUUAAACAGGUGGGAAAAAAUUAACUGCAGAACCUGUUGCAGUCGCUGCCUGAUAGAAAGUGCAGCCGUUUCCGCCAGCCUGUCCUGCGGGCUAGUGGAAACGCCGUUUAGCAGGAUAGUCCGGCGGGUGUGCUCAGGGCUCGCUGGAUGAAAUGCCUCUUGAGCUGGUUGAGUGGAGCUCUUCCUCUUCAAGAACUGCUCAACAAGAUGCAAUGAAGAGGAUAAGCCUGUAGAGGCAACUGUGGAAUGCCUUCGGACGCGGGUUCGAUUCCCGCCGCCUCCACCA